rnacentral:tRNA from 1 species
CGUUCUGUGGCGAAGCUGGUUAACGCGCCCUAUCUUGCGAGUUGGGAAGACGUGGGUUCAAAUCCCAAGAGAACCA